rnacentral:rRNA from 1 species
AAAGAAAGUAAGCAAGGGCGCAUGGCGGAUGCCUUGGCUCUCGGAGGCGAUGAAGGACGUGAUAAGCUGCGAUAAGCUUCGGGUAGGUGCAAAUAACCUUUGAUCCGAAGAUUUCCGAAUGGGACAACCCGACAUUCUGAAGGAAUGUCAUCCUGCUUGGCAGGAGGCUAACGCAGGGAACUGAAACAUCUUAGUACCUGCAGGAAAAGAAAAUAAUAAUGAUUCCCCAAGUAGUGGCGAGCGAACGGGGAUUAGCCCAAACCAAUGUUGUUACGGCAAUAUUGGGGUUGUAGGACCACGUUGUCGCAAGACAUUCAGUGAGAAGAAUUCUUUGGAAAAUGAAACCAUAGACGGUGAUAGUCCGGUAUUCGAAGCUGAACGAAGCGUAGUGGUAUCCUGAGUAGCGCGGGACACGAGGAAUCUUGCGUGAACCAGCCGGGACCAUCCGGUAAGGCUAAAUACUCCCGAGAGACCGAUAGCGAACCAGUACUGUGAAGGAAAGGUGAAAAGCACUUCGAAUAGAAGAGUGAAAUAGUCCCUGAAACCAUGCGCCUACAAGCGGUCGGAGCAGCUUAUGCUGUGACGGCGUGCCUUUUGCAUAAUGAACCUACGAGUUACUUUUUCCGGCAAGGUUAAGGAUCUAGAGAUCCGUAGCCGAAGCGAAAGCGAGUCUGAACAGGGCGAUAAGUCGGAAGGAGUAGACGCGAAACCAAGUGAUCUACCCUUGGCCAGGUUGAAGGUUAGGUAACACUAACUGGAGGACCGAACCGAUAAGCGUUGAAAAGCUUCCGGAUGAGCUGAGGGUGGGGGUGAAAGGCUAAUCAAACUUGGAGAUAGCUCGUACUCCCCGAAAUGCAUUUAGGUGCAGCCUUGUGAGUUACUAAUGUGAGGUAGAGCGACUGAUAAGAUGCGAGGGCUUCACCGCCUAUCAAGUCUUGAUAAACUCCGAAUGCGCAUUAGUUCUAUCACAGGAGUGAGGGCAUGGGUGCUAAGGUCCAUGUCCUAAAGGAGAAGAAUCCGGACCAUCAGCUAAGGUCCCGAAAUAGAUACUAAGUUGAACUAACGAAGUCAGAUUGCUAAGACAGCUAGGAUGUUGGCUUGGAAGCAGCCAUUCAUUUAAAGAGUGCGUAACAGCUCACUAGUCGAGGAGUUUGGCGUGGAUAAUAAUCGGGCAUUAAGUAUCUUACCGAA